rnacentral:rRNA from 1 species
UUAAGUGACUAAGCGUACACGGUGGAUGCCUUGGCAGUUGGAGGCGAUGAAGGACGUACUAACUUGCGAUAAGCCUAGUCAAGCCAGUAAGAGGCGCUUGAGACUAGGAUUUCCGAAUGGGGAAACCCACCUGCUUGCAGGUAUCGUUAACUGAAUACAUAGGUUAACGAGGCGAACGCGGAGAACUGAAACAUCUAAGUACCCGUAGGAAAAGAAAUCAACCGAGAUUCCGAAAGUAGCGGCGAGCGAAAUCGGACCAGCCCUUAAGCUUUAGUGUAGUUAGUGGAACAUGCUGGAAAGCAUGACGAAACAGGGUGAUAGUCCCGUACACAAAAACUUAUCUAAAGUGAAAUCGAGUAGGUCGGAGCACGUGAAACUUUGACUGAAUAUGGGGGGACCAUCCUCCAAGGCUAAAUACUCCCAACUGACCGAUAGUGAACCAGUACCGUGAGGGAAAGGCGAAAAGAACCCCUGUGAGGGGAGUGAAAUAGAACCUGAAACCGUGUACGUACAAGCAAUAGGAGCCUACUUGUUGGGUGACUGCGUACCUUUUGUAUAAUGGGUCAGCGACUUAUAUUCUGUAGCGAGGUUAACCAUUUAGGGGAGCCGUAGCGAAAGCGAGUCUUAACUGGGCGCUUAAGUUGCAGGGUAUAGACCCGAAACCCGGUGAUCUAGCCAUGGGCAGGUUGAAGGUUGAGUAACAUCAACUGGAGGACCGAACCCACUAACGUUGAAAAGUUAGGGGAUGACCUGUGGCUAGGAGUGAAAGGCUAAUCAAACCGGGAGAUAGCUGGUUCUCCCCGAAAUCUAUUUAGGUAGAGCCUCGGACGAAUACUUACGGGGGUAGAGCACUGUUAAGGCUAGGGGGUCAUCCCGACUUACCAACCCUUUGCAAACUCCGAAUACCGUAAAGUAAUAUCCGGGAGACACACGGCGGGUGCUAACGUCCGUCGUGGAGAGGGAAACAACCCAGACCGUCAGCUAAGGUCCCAAAGUGUAUGUUAAGUGGGAAACGAUGUGGGAAGGCUAAAACAGCUAGGAGGUUGGCUUAGAAGCAGCCACCCUUUAAAGAAAGCGUAAUAGCUCACUAGUCGAGUCGGCCUGCGCGGAAGAUGUAACGGGGCUAAACAUACCACCGAAGCUACGGCUGCGUACGUAAGUAUGCGGGGUAGGGGAGCGUUCUGUAAGUGGCUGAAGGUGUGCCGGGAGGCAUGCUGGACAUAUCAGAAGUGCGAAUGCUGACAUGAGUAACGACAAGAGGAGUGAAAAACUCCUCCGCCGGAAGACCAAGGGUUCCUAUCCCAUGUUAAUCAGGGUAGGGUGAGUCGACCCCUAAGGCGAGGCUGAAGAGCGUAGUCGAUGGGAAACGGGUUAAUAUUCCCGUACUCGGUAUGAAUGCGAUGGGGGGACGGAGCAGGCUAGGCAAGCAUGGCGUUGGUUGUCCAUGUGAAAGGCUGUAGGCUGGUGACUUAGGAAAAUCCGGGUUACCAAGGCUGAGAGUCGAGACGAGCCACUAAGGUGGUGAAGUUGUUGAUGCCCUACUUCCAGGAAAAGCCUCUAAGCUUCAGUUCAUACUGAAUCGUACCCUAAACCGACACAGGUGGUCAGGUAGAGAAUACUAAGGCGCUUGAGAGAACUCGGGUGAAGGAACUAGGCAAAAUUGUACCGUAACUUCGGGAGAAGGUACGCUCUUGUUUGUGAAGGACUUGCUCUGUAAGCAAACGAGAGCCGCAGUGACCAGGUGGCUGGGACUGUUUAUUAAAAACACAGCACUGUGCAAAAUCGUAAGAUGACGUAUACGGUGUGACACCUGCCCGGUGCCGGAAGGUUAAUUGAUGGGGUUAGCUUAGGCGAAGCUCUUGAUCGAAGCCCCGGUAAACGGCGGCCGUAACUAUAACGGUCCUAAGGUAGCGAAAUUCCUUGUCGGGUAAGUUCCGACCUGCACGAAUGGUGUAACCAUGGCCACGCUGUCUCCACCCGAGACUCAGUGAAAUUGAAAUCGCAGUGAAGAUGCUGUGUACCCGCGGCUAGACGGAAAGACCCCGUGAACCUUUACUACAGCUUGGCACUGAACAUUGACCCUACAUGUGUAGGAUAGGUGGGAGGCUUUGAAGCAGAGACGCUAGUUUCUGUGGAGCCGACCUUGAAAUACCACCCUUGUAGUGUUGAUGUUCUAACUUAGGCCCCUGAAUCGGGGUUGAGGACAGUGCCUGGUGGGUAGUUUGACUGGGGCGGUCUCCUCCCAAAGAGUAACGGAGGAGCACGAAGGUUUGCUAAGUACGGUCGGACAUCGUACGGUUAGUGUAAUGGUAGAAGCAAGCUUAACUGCGAGACAGACACGUCGAGCAGGUACGAAAGUAGGUCAUAGUGAUCCGGUGGUUCUGAAUGGAAGGGCCAUCGCUCAACGGAUAAAAGGUACUCCGGGGAUAACAGGCUGAUACCGCCCAAGAGUUCAUAUCGACGGCGGUGUUUGGCACCUCGAUGUCGGCUCAUCACAUCCUGGGGCUGAAGUCGGUCCCAAGGGUAUGGCUGUUCGCCAUUUAAAGUGGUACGCGAGCUGGGUUUAGAACGUCGUGAGACAGUUCGGUCCCUAUCUGCCGUGGGCGUUUGAGAAUUGAGAGGGGCUGCUCCUAGUACGAGAGGACCGGAGUGGACGAACCGCUGGUGUUCGGGUUGUGAUGCCAAUUGCAUUGCCCGGUAGCUACGUUCGGAACUGAUAACCGCUGAAAGCAUCUAAGCGGGAAGCAGGCCUCGAGAUGAGUUCUCACUUUGACUUAGAGUCAACUGAAGGGCCGUUGAAGACUACAACGUUGAUAGGCGAGAUGUGGAAGUGCUGUGAGGCAUUAAGCUAACUCGUACUAAUUACCCGUGAGGCUUAACCAU